rnacentral:rRNA from 1 species
CCUACGGGAGGCAGCAGUAAGGAAUAUUGGUCAAUGGACGAAAGUCUGAACCAGCCACGCCGCGUGAAGGAUUAAGGCCCUCUGGGUUGUAAACUUCUUUUAUCUGGGACGAAAAAAGGGUAUUCUUACUCACUUGACGGUACCAGAGGAAUAAGCACCGGCUAACUCCGUGCCAGCAGCCGCGGUAAUACGGAGGGUGCAAGCGUUAUCCGGAUUUACUGGGUUUAAAGGGUGCGUAGGUGGGCUUGUAAGUCAGUGGUGAAAUCUCCGGGCUUAACCCGGAAACUGCCAUUGAUACUAUAGGUCUUGAAUUAUCUGGAGGUAAGCGGAAUAUGUCAUGUAGCGGUGAAAUGCUUAGAUAUGACAUAGAACACCAAUUGCGAAGGCAGCUUACUACGGAUAUAUUGACACUGAGGCACGAAAGCGUGGGGAUCAAACAGGAUUAGAUACCCUGGUAGUCCACGCCCUAAACGAUGGAUACUCGACAUCAGCGAUACACUGUUGGUGUCUGNGAGAAGANAUAAUAUCCACCGUCGGAGUAGAGCGCGAGAAGUUAGUAAACGUUAAAUUAAGUAAGUUAGUUACGGCGUUGAGACGUGCCGACGGACGACGACGAGGGGAGGUUAGGAG